CGGCAAAAACGCCACAUCCGCCGCGAGACGGAGCCGGAAAACCACGGAUCUUUGGACCAAAAGACCGCCGGGUUGCCCGU
rnacentral:ncRNA from 1 species